GACGAACGCUGGCGGCGUGCCUAACACAUGCAAGUCGAGCGGAGACAGUGAGUAGCUUGCUAUGAGCUGUUUUAGCGGCGGACGGGUGAGUAACGCGUGAGCAACCUUUCCCAGACAGGGGAAUAACACACCGAAAGGUGUACUAAUACCGCAUAAGACCACGGAAUCACAUGGUUCUGGGGUAAAAGAUUUAUCGGUUUGGGGUGGGCUCGCGUCCGAUUAGGUAGUUGGUGAGGUAACGGCCCACCAAGCCGACGAUCGGUAGCCGACCUGAGAGGGUGAUCGGCCACAUUGGGACUGAGACACGGCCCAAACUCCUACGGGAGGCAGCAGUGGGGAAUAUUGGGCAAUGGAGGAAACUCUGACCCAGCAACGCCGCGUGGAGGAAGAAGGUUUUCGGAUCGUAAACUCCUGUCCUUGGAGACGAGUAGAAGACGGUAUCCAAGGAGGAAGCCCCGGCUAACUACGUG
rnacentral:rRNA from 1 species